CCAUCUGUCUCUGGGCUUGGACCCAGUAGCGACUGUCCGUCCACAGCGCCGCUUUGCCGGGCGUGACCACGGCGGUGCCUUGCAGGAAGAGGACGGAGACAGUCAGCCAACAGCAAGAAUUACAAACCGCUGUCCAGCCUUGAAGGGGAUGGCCAUCGACGUGAGGCGGGGCGCCCAUCUUUUAUCUCACUGUUCCACUGAAGCUGUGGCAUGAUUUAAUCCACUAUAAAUCUUCCUUUUUGAUCUAUGGCGGGGGAGGCUCUUCAAGUGAGGAUAAAAGCAGCUCAGACGUGGGAUGGUGAUUCCCGGAGGAGGAGGAGGAGGAGGAGUGUACCUGCAGAGCCAGUGAAGCCGGUCAUGAAGGCCAUCCUGGCGUCUCGUGGCGAUAUGUACUCGCUCUGACGAAGACACACACUGUUUAGCGUCACCCACUAACACACACAAUGAAUCCACCACAGGGCAUUCUAACAUGAUGAUUGGCGGGCCAGGUACCAGGUGGGCGUCGGUGCCUGGGAUGAUGUAGGCGGAGAUGUUGGACGAGUGCAUCUGCUGGCGUAACUCCUGCAGGCGGACGCUGGUGUUCACUGCCGUGCUGGGAAGUUAUGACCGCCAGGAGCAGAGCCGUCAUCCAGCAGUAGGAGACCAUCUUGGCUUUCGGUGCGGGAGCAGGUGCAGCGCUGAGUGUGCAGUGUCUGUGGGUGUGUGCUCAGCGUCAUGGCACAUAAAUCAGAAGAGGAAGUGAACACAGCUGUAUCCUGCUGAGCACACUUGUUGGAACAUCUCAUCCCACUGGUUAGAUGUCAUUCCGACACCGUUCUCCAGUGGGACAGUGCCACAUGCUGACUGCCACGUAAAACAUGG